rnacentral:rRNA from 1 species
GAUGAACGCUGGCGGCGUGCCUAAUACAUGCAAGUCGAGCGAACAGACGAGGAGCUUGCUCCUCUGACGUUAGCGGCGGACGGGUGAGUAACACGUGGAUAACCUACCUAUAAGACUGGGAUAACUUCGGGAAACCGGAGCUAAUACCGGAUAAUAUAUUGAACCGCAUGGUUCAAUAGUGAAAGACGGUUUUGCUGUCACUUAUAGAUGGAUCCGCGCCGCAUUAGCUAGUUGGUAAGGUACCGGCUUACCAAGGCAACGAUGCGUAGCCGACCUGAGAGGGUGAUCGGCCACAAUGGAACUGAGACACGGUCCAGACUCCUACGGGAGGCAGCAGUAGGGAAUCUUCCGCAAUGGGCGAAAGCCUGACGGAGCAACGCCGCGUGAGUGAUGAAGGUCGUCGGAUCGUAAAACUCUUUUAUUAGGGAAGAACAAAUGUGUAAGUAACUAUGCACGUCUUGACGGUACCUAAUCAGAAAGCCACGGCUAACUACG